GACGAACGCUGGCGGCGUGCUUAACACAUGCAAGUCGAACGGAAAGGCCCUGCUUUUGUGGGGUGCUCGAGUGGCGAACGGGUGAGUAACACGUGAGUAACCUGCCCUUGACUUUGGGAUAACUUCAGGAAACUGGGGCUAAUACCGGAUAGGAGCUCCUGCUGCACGGUGGGGGUUGGAAAGUUUCGGCGGUUGGGGAUGGACUCGCGGCUUAUCAGCUUGUUGGUGGGGUAGUGGCUUACCAAGGCUUUGACGGGUAGCCGGCCUGAGAGGGUGACCGGCCACAUUGGGACUGAGAUACGGCCCAGACUCCUACGGGAGGCAGCAGUGGGGAAUAUUGCACAAUGGGCGGAAGCCUGAUGCAGCAACGCCGCGUGCGGGAUGACGGCCUUCGGGUUGUAAACCGCUUUCGCCUGUGACGAGGCGUGAGUGACGGUAAUGGGUAAAGAAGCACCGGCUAACUACGUG
rnacentral:rRNA from 1 species